UACAGAGGUCCCAAGCGUUGUUCGGAUUCACUGGGCGUAAAGGGUGCGUAGGCGGUCGGGUAAGUCUGAUGUGAAAUCUCACAGCUUAACUGUGAAACUGCAUUGGAUACUAUUCGGCUUGAGAGUUGGAGGGGGGACUGGAAUUCUCGGUGUAGCAGUGAAAUGCGUAGAUAUCGAGAGGAACACCAGUGGCGAAGGCGACACGCUGGGCCGUACCUGACACUGAUGCGCGACAGCAUGGGGAGCAAACAGG
rnacentral:rRNA from 1 species